rnacentral:tRNA from 1 species
GGCAGUGUGGCUUAGUGGAAAGAUCACUGGGUUGGCGCUCAGGAGACCUGGGUUCUAGUCCCAGCCCUGCCG